GACGAACGCUGGCGGCGUGCUUAACACAUGCAAGUCGAACGGAAAGGCCCUGCUUUUGUGGGGUGCUCGAGUGGCGAACGGGUGAGUAACACGUGAGUAACCUGCCCUUGACUUUGGGAUAACUUCAGGAAACUGGGGCUAAUACCGGAUAGGAGCUCCUGCUGCAUGGUGGGGGUUGGAAAGUUUCGGCGGUUGGGGAUGGACUCGCGGCUUAUCAGCUUGUUGGUGGGGUAGUGGCUUACCAAGGCUUAGACGGGUAGCCGGCCUGAGAGGGUGACCGGCCACAUUGGGACUGAGAUACGGACCAGACUGCUACGGGAGGCAGCAGUGGGGAAUAUUGCACAAUGGGCGGAAGCCUGAUGCAGCAACGCCGCGUGCGGGAUGACGGCCUUCGGGUUAUAAACCGCUUUCGCCUGUGACGAAGCGUGAGUGACGGUAAUGGGUAAAGAAGCACCGGCUAACUACGUG
rnacentral:rRNA from 1 species